AUAAACGCUGGCGGCGCACAUAAGACAUGCAAGUCGAACGGAAGUCGUUAUAAAAAGGAUUGAAGAUUUAUCUGAUUGAGAUUUUAUAACAAUGGCUUUAGUGGCGGACUGGUGAGUAACGCGUGAGCAACCUGCCUACUAGAGGGGAAUAACAGUGAGAAAUCAUUGCUAAUACCGCAUAUGCCAUGAACAUCACAUGAUGAAAAUGGGAAAAGAGUAAUCUGCUAGUAGAUGGGCUCGCGUCUGAUUAGAUAGUUGGUGGGGUAACGGCCUACCAAGUCAACGAUCAGUAGCCGGACUGAGAGGUUGAACGGCCACAUUGGGACUGAGAUACGGCCCAGACUCCUACGGGAGGCAGCAGUCGGGAAUAUUGCGCAAUGGAGGAAACUCUGACGCAGUGACGCCGCGUAUAGGAAGAAGGUUUUCGGAUUGUAAACUAUUGUCGUUAGGGAAGAUACAAGACAGUACCUAAGGAGGAAGCUCCGGCUAACUACGUGCCAGCAGCCGCGGUAAUACGUAGGGAGCAAGCGUUAUCCGGAUUUAUUGGGUGUAAAGGGUGCGUAGACGGGACAACAAGUUAGUUGUGAAAUCCCUCGGCUUAACUGAGGAACUGCAACUAAAACUAUUGUUCUUGAGUGUUGGAGAGGAAAGUGGAAUUCCUAGUGUAGCGGUGAAAUGCGUAGAUAUUAGGAGGAACACCGGUGGCGAAGGCGACUUUCUGGACAAUAACUGACGUUGAGGCACGAAAGUGUGGGGAGCAAACAGGAUUAGAUACCCUGGUAGUCCACACCGUAAACGAUGGAUACUAGGUGUAGGAAAUGAUUUCAUUUUCUGUGCCGUCGCAAACGCAAUAAGUAUCCCACCUGGGGAGUACGGCCGCAAGGUUGAAACUCAAAGGAAUUGACGGGGGCCCGCACAAGCAGUGGAGUAUGUGGUUUAAUUCGAAGCAACGCGAAGAACCUUACCAGGUCUUGACAUCCUUCUGACCGGUACUUAAUCGUACCUUCUCUUCGGAGCAGGAGUGACAGGUGGUGCAUGGUUGUCGUCAGCUCGUGUCGUGAGAUGUUAGGUUAAGUCCUGCAACGAGCGCAACCCCUGUGAUUAGUUGCCAACAGGUUAAGCUGGGAACUCUAAUCAGACUGCCGGUGAUAAAUCGGAGGAAGGUGGGGAUGACGUCAAAUCAUCAUGCCCUUUAUGUCCUGGGCUACACACGUACUACAAUGGCUGUAACAGAGAGAAGCAACACCGCGAGGUAGAGCGAAACUCCAAAAGCAGUCUCAGUUCGGAUUGAAGGCUGAAAUUCGCCUUCAUGAAGCCGGAAUUGCUAGUAAUGGCAGGUCAGCAUACUGCCGUGAAUACGUUCCCGGGCCUUGUACACACCGCCCGUCACACCAUGAGAGUUGGGAAUACCCGAAGCCUGUGAGCCAACUGUAAAGAGGCAGCAGUCGAAGGUAGAAUCAAUGAUUGGGGUG
rnacentral:rRNA from 1 species